rnacentral:rRNA from 1 species
GAUGAACGCUGGCGGCGUGCCUAAUACAUGCAAGUCGAGCGAAUGGAUUAAGAGCUUGCUCUUAUGAAGUUAGCGGCGGACGGGUGAGUAACACGUGGGUAACCUGCCCAUAAGACUGGGAUAACUCCGAGAAACCGGGGCUAAUACCGGAUAACAUUUUGAACCGCAUGGUUCGAAAUUGAAAGGCGGCUUCGGCUGUCACUUAUGGAUGGACCCGCGUCGCAUUAGCUAGUUGGUGAGGUAACGGCUCACCAAGGCAACGAUGCGUAGCCGACCUGUGAGGGUGAGCGGCCACACUGGGACUGAGACACGGCCCAGACUCCUACGGGAGGCAGCAGUAGGGAAUCUUCCGCAAUGGACGAAAGUCUGACGGAGCAACGCCGCGUGAGUGAUGAAGGCUUUCGGGUCGUAAGACUCUGUUGUUAGGGAAGAACAAGUGCUAGUUGAAUAAGCUGGCACCUUGACGGUACCUAACCAGAAAGCCACGGCUAACUACGUGCCAGCAGCCGCGGUAA